UAAAAAUCAGGAAUAAACAAAUCUGUAUAAAACAAAAAUUAGGAAUAAGCAAAUCUAAUCCCUAAAAGUCAAAAUCGAUCCAUCCCUAAUUCCUCAUUCCUCACCGCUCACACAAACAAAAAGGAAAAAACCUAGGUCAAUUUUGGUCUCCAUCUUCUUCGAUUUCUCUACCAACGAACUUUUGCGUUUGAAAGUUCUUGCUGCUCUCCGUCUUCGUCGGUGUUACUCCGACUGUCCGAAUACUCCAUUCCGCCAUUGAACUGGGAAUUGAAGUUGCAAUGAACUUGUUGAAAUUUUACAACAAAGUACCAAAAAUAACUUCGGCUUCUCAAAAUCAAUCUAUCAUAGAAGAAAAUACCGAUCAAUCAUAUUUUCCCUCGCAUUCUUCUCUAAGACAAGAAAUUGAUACAAUUUCUCCACAGUCCGAUCCAGCUGAAAGAACUCCAAUAUUGGAGUAUCAUCCAAACCAUCGCGAUGAAAUAAGGAGGGCAUACAUUCAAGGUGAUCCUUACCAACCCCGUUAUCAUGACUUCUCUCAAUCUGACUUUUUUGGAUUUAAGCGUCAUUUUAAUCCUGUAUGGUUGAUGAAUUUAAUUGGUUGGAGUAUAGUGUAAGUACCGAUGCUGCAUAUUGUUUAUCUUGUAAUUUAUUUAAGGGCGAAAGUAUUCAUCAAGGUGGUGGUAAUAUUUUUUCGAGUAAAGGGUUUAGGAAUUGUAUCCUGAUGACUUUGAUGAAUUUAGGAUGAGUGCUCUUGAGAAUUAGCUUGCGAGUUAUAUUAUUGAUGUUCAUGAUUUUGAUGAAAGUUUCUCCGAUCUAAAUGGGCUUUCUGAUCUUUCAGAAAGAUUAGUUAAGACAAAAAAGCAUUCAGUUUAUCCUCUUGUAUUCCUCUAAGUAAAACUUGCGUGCUUCUGCCUGUUGCCACUGUAACCGUUGAAAGAGCUUUCUCAGCAAUGAAGUUUAUCAAAAAUGACUUGCGGAAUCGAAUGGAUGAUGACUUUUUAGGCGGUUGCAUAGUGCCUUAUGUAGAAAGAGAAGUAUUUAGUACUGUUUCUAGUGAGUCUAUUAUAAAAACAUUUCAAGAGAUGAAGCCUCGUCGAGUACAAUUGUAAUAAGUAGAAUCUCUUUUCGACACUUCUUUAUAUUAGUUUGGAUUUAUCCAAUUGUUUGUACUAU